rnacentral:lncRNA from 1 species
AAAAAUAAAAAAUAAAAAUAAAAUUACAGAAAAUUUUUUUGUCAAUACACGUUUUCUUACUUUCUUCCCUGUUAUUCAAAAAUUUACACUUUGCCCUUUUAAAAAAUAAAAAAUGUUCAGUUAAGGUUCCGUUUAUAUCUUAUUUUUUAUACUCAAAAUAUCAAUAAAAUCCUCAUUCAAACCCACACACGUACCCUCGGCUGCGCCUCACCCUCCGCUACGUCGCCCUCGCCCACCUCUCUGACCAUACCUAGACACACACUAUCGCCCCUCUCCGCCGCCGGGAUGAACGAAGUUGGGGAGAAGGAGAUGAAAAAGAUCAGAGCAAUUUGAUCAUUUUAUUAUACCGCACUCUCUGUGAAUAUUUUUUUAUUUUUCAAGAGGAUAAAGUAUAGAUUUUUAAAUAGCAGAAAAAAGGUUAAAAAAUGGAUAUUGACAGAAGGGUUAUAUGUAAUUGAGCCAAAAAUAAGGAAAAACUUCAAACACCCCUCCGUGAUUUUGCACUUUCUUACUUUAGUACCCUGUGGUUUAAAAUAUAUAAAGUUAGUACUUUGUGAUUUCACACUUUCUCACUUUAGUACCCUAUGGUUUAAAGUGUAUCAAGUUAGUACCCUGUGGUUUCGCAUUUUCUCAUUUUAGUACCCGUGGUUUAAUAUUUUGUUGAAUUAUAUACCCCGAAAUAAAUAAUAAAAAGAGAAAAUUGAAACCACAUCGUACUAACUUGAUACAAAAAUGAAACCACAGAGUACUAAAUUGAUACACUUGAAACCAAAUGGUACUAAAAUGAGAAAGUGCGAAACCACAAGGUACUAACUUGAUACACUUUAAACCACAGGGUACUAAAGUGAGGAAAUGCGAAACCACAGGU